UACGAAGGGGCUAGCGUUGCUCGGAAUCACUGGGCGUAAAGGGUGCGUAGGCGGGUCUUUAAGUCAGGGGUGAAAUCCUGGAGCUCAACUCCAGAACUGCCUUUGAUACUGAGGAUCUUGAGUUCGGGAGAGGUGAGUGGAACUGCGAGUGUAGAGGUGAAAAUUCGUAGAUAUUCGCAAGAACACCAGUGGCGAAGGCGGCUCACUGGCCCGAUACUGACGCUGAGGCACGAAAGCGUGGGGAGCAAACAGGG
rnacentral:rRNA from 1 species